AACGAACGCUGGCGGCAUGCCUAACACAUGCAAGUCGAACGAGACCUUCGGGUCUAGUGGCGCACGGGUGCGUAACGCGUGGGAACCUGCCCUUAGGUUCGGAAUAACUCCCCGAAAGGGGUGCUAAUACCGGAUAAUGUCUUCGGACCAAAGAUUUAUCGCCUUUGGAUGGGCCCGCGUUGGAUUAGCUAGUUGGUAGGGUAAAAGCCUACCAAGGCGACGAUCCAUAGCUGGUCUGAGAGGAUGAUCAGCCACACUGGGACUGAGACACGGCCCAGACUCCUACGGGAGGCAGCAGUGGGGAAUAUUGGACAAUGGGCGAAAGCCUGAUCCAGCAAUGCCGCGUGAGUGAUGAAGGCCUUAGGGUUGUAAAGCUCUUUUAACCGGGAUGAGAAUGACAGUACCGGGAGAAUAAGCUCCGGCUAACUCCGUG
rnacentral:rRNA from 1 species